AACGAACGCUGGCGGCAUGCCUAACACAUGCAAGUCGAACGAGACCUUCGGGUCUAGUGGCGCACGGGUGCGUAACGCGUGGGAACCUGCCCUUAGGUUCGGAAUAACUCCCCGAAAGGGGUGCUAAUACCGGAUAAUGUCUUCGGACCAAAGAUUUAUCGCCUUUGGAUGGGCCCGCGUUGGAUUAGCUAGUUGGUAGGGUAAAAGCCUACCAAGGCGACGAUCCAUAGCUGGUCUGAGAGGAUGAUCAGCCACACUGGGACGGAGACACGGCCCAGACUCCUACGGGAGGCAGCAGUGGGGAAUAUUGGACAAUGGGCGAAAGCCUGAUCCAGCAAUGCCGCGUGAAUGAUGAAGGCCGUAGGGUUGUAAAGCGCUUUUACCCGGGAUGAUAAUGACAGUACCGGAAGAAUAAGCUCCGGCUAACUCCGUG
rnacentral:rRNA from 1 species